UCAGAUAGCCGGAUGGCUGCCUUCGUCCAUUUUUGUGGGGGGGGGGGAGGAAAGUCCGGGCUCCACGGAGACAUGGUGCCGGGUAACGCCCGGCGGGGGCGACCCUAGGGAAAGUGCCACAGAGAGUAGACCGCCGGUGCGCAGUUGCCUGCCGGCAAGGGUGAAAGGGUGCGGUAAGAGCGCACCGCGCCGCCGGUA
rnacentral:RNase_P_RNA from 1 species